rnacentral:rRNA from 1 species
GGCGCGAAAACUCCACAAUGUACGGAAGUACGAUGGGGUUAUCUCGAGUGCAGUCCGAUAAGGGCUGCUUUUCCAUAGAGUAAUAUCCUGUGGGAAUAAGAGGGGGGCAAGACUGGUGUCAGCCGCCGCGGUAACACCAGCCCCUCGAGUGGUGGGGACUAUUAUUUGGUCUAAAGCGUCCGUAGCUGGCUGUAUCCGUCCCCCGUUAAAUCCAGCGUCCUAAGCGUUGGACUGCGGGUGAUACCAUACAGCUAGAGGGUGGGAUAGGUGAGCGGUAUUUCUGGGGUAGGGGCGAAAUCCUUUGAUCCCAGGAGGACCACCAGUGGCGAAGGCUGCUCACUAGAACACGCCUGACGGUCAGGGACGAAAGCUGGGGCAGCGAACCGGAUUAGAUACCCGGGUAGUCCCAGCUGUAAACGAUGCUAGCUAGGUGUUGGGUCGGCCACGCGCCGCCCCAGUGCCGCAGGGAAGCCGUUAAGCUAGCCACCUGGGGAGUACGGCCGCAAGGCUGAAACUUAAAGGAAUUGGCGGGGGAGCAC